GUAGUCCACGCCCUAAACGAUGUCAACUAGUUGUCGGGUCUUUAUUGACUUGGUAACGCAGCUAACGCGUGAAGUUGACCGCCUGGGGAGUACGGUCGCAAGAUUAAAACUCAAAGGAAUUGACGGGGACCCGCACAAGCGGUGGAUGAUGUGGAUUAAUUCGAUGCAACGCGAAAAACCUUACCUACCCUUGACAUGGUCGGAAGCCCCGAGAGAUUGGGGCGUGCUCGAAAGAGAGCCGAUACACAGGUGCUGCAUGGCUGUCGUCAGCUCGUGUCGUGAGAUGUUGGGUUAAGUCCCGCAACGAGCGCAACCCUUGUCAUUAGUUGCUACAUUCAGAUGAGCACUCUAAUGAGACUGCCGGUGACAAACCGGA
rnacentral:rRNA from 1 species